rnacentral:tRNA from 1 species
CCGGUUAGCUCAGUUGGUUAGAGCGUCGUGCUAAUAACGCGAAUGUCGUGGGUUCGAUCCCCAUACUGGCCAAUUUUAGACAUGUUCUGGAAAGAAAAUAAUGUUCUAGUCUCCUGCAGGAUGUCAGGAAAUGAUGGCUACUGACAGUCCAAAGCCCAAGAGGGGAAGCAUGUUACUGGCUACACUUGGUGUCAACUUGAACAGUAAAUCAUGUCUUACCGUCCUCUCUCACUGUGCCCAUUCAUGGCAGU